rnacentral:rRNA from 1 species
AAUGGGUCAAAGGGGGGGGAGCCGGAACCAAGCCAAGUCGCGGGAAGGGAGAAGGCCUUAUGGGGUGUAAACCUUUUUCAGAUGAGAGUAAAGGGGUGUACGAGUAGCACAUUGCAAGUAUCAUCAGAAGAAGCAUCGGGGUUAAUUCCGUGCCAGCAGCCGCGGUAAUACGGAAGAUGCGAGCGUUAUCCGGAUUUAUUGGGUUUAAAGGGUGCGUAGGCGGACCCGCAAGUCAGCGGUGAAAACGUGCGGCUUAACCGUACGCUUGCCAUUGAAACUGCGGGACUGGAGUUCGGAAGAGGUAUGCGGAAUGCGUGGUGUAGCGGUGAAAUGCAUAGAUAUCACGCAGAACCCCGAUUGCGAAGGCAGCAUACCAUAGCGAGACUGACGCUGAAGCACGAAAGCGUGGGGAUCGAACAGGAUUAGAUACCCUGGUAGUCCACGCAGUAAACGAUGAAUACUAACCGUUUGCGAUAAAAUGUAAGCGGUCGAGCGAAAGCGUUAAGUAUUCCACCUGGGGAGUACGCCGGCAACGGUGAAACUCAAAGGAAUUGACGGGACCCGCACAAGCGGUGGAGUAUGUGGCUUAAUUCGAUGCAACGCGAAGAACCUUACCAGGGCUUGACAUCCCGCGAAGACUCGUGAAAGCGAGGGAUACCCUUCGGGGACGCGGAGACAGGUGCUGCAUGGCCGUCGUCAGCUCGUGUCGUGAGAUGUUUGGUUAAGUCCAGCAACGAGCGCAACCCCUGCUGCCGGUUACCAGCGAGUAAAGUCGGGGACUCAGGCGGGACUGCCCAGAUCAACUGGGAGGAAGGUGGGGACGACGUCAGGUCAGUAUGGCCCUUACGCCCUGGGCUGCACACGUACUACAAUGCCCAGUACAGAGGGAGGCGAGUCGGAGACGGCAAGCGGAUCCCAAAAAGUGGGCACAGUUCGGAUUGGAGGCUGCAACUCGCCUCCAUGAAGUCGGAAUCGCUAGUAAUGGCGCAUCAGCAACGGCGCCGUGAAUACGUUCCCGGGUCUUGUACACACCGCCCGUCACAUCAUGGAAGCCGGUUUCACCCGAAGUAUCGGGAGCCAACCGCAAGGGGGCAUGGUCCUAAGGAGAGACUGGUAACUGGGAUGAAGUCGUAACAAGGUAG